UCUCCGUAGGUGAACCUGCGGAGGGAUCAUUCACAUGAUUUACUUUAUAAACAAACUGUUAACUUUAUUAUUUAUUAUUCUUGUAAGGAUUAUUUUAUAAUCUUUUAUAACGUCAUUCGAUGAACAUUAGAUAGUUGGCUUGUUUUUUUUUAAAUAAACAACGUUCUCAGCUGAUUUGUUUGUUAGACUAAACAUCUAUUCAAACAAUCAACCAAAAACAUAAAAACAACUCUAUGCCCUGGAUAUCUUGGUUCUC
rnacentral:misc_RNA from 1 species